rnacentral:misc_RNA from 1 species
GUGAAUCAUCGAAUUUUUGAACGCAAAUUGCACUUUCUGGUAUUCCGGAAAGUAUGCCUGUUUGAGGGUCAGUUAAAUAAAAAUCGGGGUUUUUGCUGCUUUUGGUGGUGAGGCGUCGGAAUUGAGUUGUCUUACCUUCGGGUAAGUGACUUAGAAUUGUGGAUUAUUUUCGAACGUAUUUAAAUUUCUUACUGACGUUUGAGUGAUAGAAUACUUUAUUA